CGGUCUUCCAUCAUGUAGUCGAAGGCCCAAUAAAAUAUAUAUACAAACAGCAUGGCUUCUCGUCAGUGUGUUAUAAUAGAACAACUCAAAUCCACCUCAGAUUGCAUUGUCUUCAUGUCUUGACCCACGUGCCAACUGAGAACCGUAUCUGUCAAGUAGAAGUGUCCGAAUUUUCGCUCCGGCGUUUCGAUCUAGACAGACUGACGACAGACAGAGGAAAUAUUUCAAAUGCCCAGGACCAAAAUGACUGAAAGGAACACUCAAGCUAUAUUGAUAAAAAAUCAAAUGCAGCAACUUUAAAAAAGAAACAUCAAACAGUCAAGAUAACAUAUUACCCAAAAAUCAAACUCACAAA